CAAGUGUGUUCACAGAGGGUUGAGGUCGAGCGUGAGCCCUCACUCAGUAAUACCCUUCCGUAGGGGUACUGCGGAGGGAUCAUUACUGAGUGAGGGCUCACGCCCGACCUCCAACCCUCUGUGAACCACACUUGUUGCUUCGGGGGCGACCCCCGCCGGCGAACUCGUCGCCGGGCGCCCCCGGAGGUCUUCUAAACACUGCAUCUUUGCGUCGGAGUUCAAAACAAAUCGAACAAAACUUUCAACAACGGAUCUCUUGGUUCUGGCAUCGAUGAAGAACGCAGCGAAAUGCGAUAAGUAAUGUGAAUUGCAGAAUUCAGUGAAUCAUCGAAUCUUUGAACGCACAUUGCGCCCUUUGGUAUUCCGAAGGGCAUGCCUGUUCGAGCGUCAUUUCACCACUCAAGCCUGGCUUGGUAUUGGGCGUCGCGGUGUUUCGCGCGCCUUAAAGUCUUCCGGCUGAGCUGUCCGUCUCCUAGCGUUGUGGAUUCUUCAAUUCGCUUCGGAGUGCGGGCGGCCGCGGCCGUUAAAUCUUUAUUGAAAGGUUGACCUCGGAUCAGGUAGGGAUACCCGCUGAACUUAAGCAUAUCAAUAAGGCGGAGGAA
rnacentral:rRNA from 1 species